CAGCUUUCAUCUUUCAAGUGAAAACCCAGCUGCAAAACCAAGCAGAUCACACAUUCCUGUGAAAAGUAUUGCUUCUCUUUCUGUAAAGAUGCCAAAAUACAAGGUGGCUCAUCGAAAGAGGGCUUCAGCGAUGUCAGAGUCUUCACCCAAAGUACCCGAUGAAGUAAGGGAACGCUAUGUCAACCUCUUCAUUGAGAAGUAUUUGAAAGUUUGUAGAACAGAGGAGGAGGCUCUUAACAAGGCUAAAACAGAAGAAAAGGCCAUAUAUGAAAGGUGUGGCAGUAGAAAUAUGUAUAUGAACAUAGCAG